rnacentral:rRNA from 1 species
AUGACUCUCGGCAACGGAUAUCUCGGCUCUCGCAUCGAUGAAGAACGUAGCGAAAUGCGAUACUUGGUGUGAAUUGCAGAAUCCCGUGAACCAUCGAGUCUUUGAACGCAAGUUGCGCCCGAAGCCUUCUGGAUAAGGGCACGUCUGCCUGGGCGUCACGC